GCCAGGCAUGGUGGCGCAUGCCUGUAAUCCCAGCUACUCGGGAGGCUGAGGCGGGAGAAUCACUUGAACCCAGGAGGCGGAGGCUGCAGUGAGCCAAGAUCGUGCCACUGCACUCCAGCCUGGGCAACAGAGUGAGACCCUGUCUCAA
ensembl:misc_RNA Metazoa_SRP Metazoan signal recognition particle RNA